AUUCCAGCUCCAAUAGCGUAUAUUAAAGUUGUUGUGGUUAAAAAGCUCGUAGUUGGAUCUCGGCGGUCUGAGGGCGGUUCGCUUCAGAGCGCUACUGCCCUAUAGACCGUAGUUUUGCCAGAGGUCUCAGGGUGCUCUUAACCGAGUGUCUUGCGAUGCUGGCAGGUUUACUUUGAAAAAAUUAGAGUGCUCAAAGCAGGCUUUUACGCCUGAAUAUUCGUGCAUGGAAUAAUAGAAUAGGAAAUCGACUUAAUGAUUAAUAGGGACAGUCGGGGGCAUUUGUAUUCAAACGACAGAGGUGAAAUUCUUGGACCGUUUGAAGACAAACUACUGCGAAAGCAUUUGCCAAGAAUGUUUUCAUCA
rnacentral:rRNA from 1 species